AGAACCUCCACCCUCCGGGCAGCCCAACCACCCAAACCCUAUCCCAUCCCACUCCAUCGUCGCCGCCCCCAGAUGCAAUCUCGCCGCCGCCACGCUCGCGCACGCUCGCCGCCGCCAUCCAUCCAUCCUCUCCAGCUCGCGCACGCUCGCCGCCGCCACGUCCACCGCCACGGCCGCACUCAGGGCGCAACGGCCUCCUCCCCACUCGCCGCCCUCCUCACCUCAUCCAAGGCCGCCUCCUCAUUCUACUCCGACGAUGACGGCGGGAUAGUCCCCGCAGACGAGCGGGGCUCCCUCUUCGUGUGACUCCCUGUUCAUUCUCAAGGAGGACAGAACCAGGCAUGUUGUGUGACAACACAAUUGGAGAAGUAAAGGUGAAGUUACUGACCAUUUGCUACAGAUUUUUUGAAAUAAGGUGCAAAAGUAAGUUCAUGAUCCAGAUUAGUUGAUCCAGUAUGUGUGUUUGUGAUAUGAAACUGGAGAUGAUAGAUAAGUCUUUUCACCGUAAACUGUAUUUGGUGCUCCUUGCCUCUUUGGUUGCACUAGAGCAAACCGAACAAUUGUUCGGGGCUGCCGGCAUGUGCUUGUAGGCAGUGUGUAUUCUGAUGCUCACAUGCUCUGUUUUCCCAUGAUAUACGACCUCUCUAUUCCUUAAACUGACAUACAUUUGCUUAUUGGGUCAUGCUAUGGAAUAAAGCUUUUCAGAAUGAACAUGAUCACAGAGAUAUAACCAAUCACGUUAAACUCAAAUGUGUUCUUGUAAGCUGAGGCUUCAUAGUAUUAGUUGGAAUAUUGACCAGUGGGUGAGAGUAGUUGCUGGUUAUUCAUGGAAUGGCAGGUGAGUGCACAGCUGCUAGUUACCUACAUCACUUUGAGGUCAUUGUCUGCACUCUUACCUUGUUGAGAUCAUCGUUUACCAGUGGGUGAUGAUGGGCAGAAUAUUGUCUUACCUUAUUUCAGUAGCUGAAUGUAAUUAUCAGGAUUGUACUCUACUUUCUAGCUGAAUGUAAUUAUCAGUAUCUUCUUUACCACGUCCCCUCUAACUCUCUGAUCCAUCAUCGCUCGAGCACCGGGACGCCAUGGAUAGGAUGGCCACUUCCUCCCCUGCCCGGACGCCAUGGAGUGGCUAGAUCUGGCCAUGGACGAUGACGCCCAGUGACAAGGGACGGCCUGGCCUGCCACCCUGAAGCCAUACCAAGGCGGAUGAACAAGGAGGAGACCACCGUCGGAGGGGAGCUAGGAGGGGUCUGAAGCGGUGGACUCUUUCGAGCGCAAAGACGGGUUUGCGGUGGAUGCUGGGUUGCAGCUCAGGUCGAUGGUGCGGCCAUGGACACAACCUCCUCAACCUCGACAACCAAUGCGUCGGCAGGGGAGCAACUAAUUCCUGAACCUUUGCUUCUCCUCUUUUAAUUCGAAGUUCUUAGUUUAGUUCCAGAUUUCUAUGCAUGCCACCUUGAUAUGUUUGAUGUUCAUCGAUCGUCCAGAUUUACUAGCACACCAGAUAGAAUUUGGGACUGAUGCCAUUCAAUAGAUUUUCUAGACAUUUUAUUGUGUCUCAUGCUGAAAAAGAAAAUGCACAAUGAGCUUGUUUGACUUUUUUGAUGCUUAGAGUAUACUUGAUCAGGGGGCAGUGUUAUUUCAUGUGAUCUUUCAUGUCAUUUGCUAGUGUGAUGCUUCAAGAUGACAAAUUUAAAAACCUAAACUAUUGUAAAUAAGCAUUCUACAUCUUGAGCAUUUAAAUGUGAGCACUUAACUAUUGUACAGCUUUUGCAUAUUUUGUUUUGUAUUUCUUUUAUAAACUAGCGGGGUGACCCGCGCAUUUGCACGGCUAGAUUUUACAAAAGAUGUAUCUCUGCUAAUAUAGAGAUUGUCUUGAAUACUCUACCUGGACCAUUUUUCUUAUAUGAACAUGUUUUUUUCUGGAAAACAAUACAUUGAAAACAAACCAUUAAUGGAAUAUUCCUUGAUGUAAUCAAGCUAAAGCUUUAAAAUGUUAAUAGUCAUUCUUAAAAAUGUUUAAGUGUACAAUUUUCUCUAUAGCUUUUAGGAUUCAUUGUCUAUAGCUAAUUAGAAACCAAAGGAUUAACAUGUUGAGGUUAUGCUUUAAGAAAUCCUUUCACAUAAUUUAAAAGUUCAAAUCUAAACAUUGUUAGAAGCUCUCUUCUACACUGUUCUCAUCAAAGCAUUUCUUUUUAAAUCAUUCAUAUGUUUUCAUCUAGUAAUUAAGUGAAACUAAUAUGACUUAUCACGUAUUUGAUAUUAUUUCUUACUUUGAAUAUUUACUCCUGUAUGAUGUAACCAUUCCAUGAUGGCUUUCACUUGAAAAACAUUAAUCAUUGCUGCUUCAAUGUAUUUUGUCUUGCCUGCCUUGAAAAUAUAGUCACUCACCGCCACAUCAUAUUGGAUUCAAUCUUACAUUUUUCAGGGUUUAAGAAAUUUUCAAUUAUUAUUCUUUUUAAUCUACUUCAGAUAGUUCUUAACAUGAGAAAGACAUAAAAUUUGAGUUGCCAAAACUCAACUCUCUUCCACAGUCCCAUCCAACUCAAUCUUGUCGAUACAUAUAUUACAUUUUUCUAAGUUUUGUUGACAAAGCAACCAACGUAUCUUGAUACAUCUGCUGCAUGUUACAUUCACAUGGGUUAUCCGUUUUCAUAUUGUGCAUGGUACAGAAAAUAAAUGAAAUUCUAAUUUUAUUUGAAACUGGAUCCGUGUUUCAGCACUGUUUUAGUUCCAAAGUUGCUUAGAUUUGUUUAUGUUAAAAAAGAAUGUACAUUACAUUAUAUUAUGGCUUAAAAAAUAAGCAGGGUGUAUCUUUAUUCUGUUAAAAUAGUUUAGUUAGGAUCCUGGACAUGAAAGAUGUACCUCACCUUCCUCCUAGAACUAAUGUAUAUACAUGUAAAAAUAGCUGGGUCUUACAUUGCGCUUCCACCUUUAAUUAUUUCUAUCAAGUUACGUUUACCGCAAAAUUCAGGCCCCAUUUGGAGUUCUAUAAAGUGUGAUAUUCUCGCAAAACUAAAAAAAAGGAGUAAAGCUUGAUAUUCCUAAAAAAUAUUAUAAUUUAAAUCAAAUGCCCACCGCAAAAAAAUUAAAUCAAAUGCAUUAAUUCUUGUUAGGGAUUUCAUAUGCAGAUCGGACAGCUUUGCUCUUUCUUUUCGUACUUUUCUUUAGCUAUGGACAUGGACGUGACAUUGAUUUAGGUGGCAGGUUUGCCUCUGUGUAGCGCUGGCUUUGGUUUUUUUUCUCCUAUUAGAAUUCAAAUCAGAAUUGGGCAUGUGUUGUUUUGCGUGCAAGUGUCCUUUUCAUAUACGUUGACUGUGGUUGCCCUUUUCCAUUACGGACAUAUGUACGUGGUAAACCUUUUUUUAGUUGAAACAUGGAGGAAUUUUUGUGUGUAAAAACAUUGCAACUUCACAAUAUUUGUAUGUAACGUUAAAUCUUUAAAUCUCGGCCGUCUAUAUCUAAAAUUAACGGUUGAGGUAAUUUAAUCUGUGUGGAUGAACGUAGUGGCUUAUUUGUCUUCUAUCUUAAUUAUGAUGAUAGUCUACGCAAGAUGUACACAUGUUAAUUUUUGUUGACUUGAAUCUGUUAUGCCCUUGAUUUUUUUACUUAGCUUAACCCAUAACAACAACAUCCUUGAUAUUUACUGAUCCCCACCUCGCUCUUUGCACUCGCAGACAUGAAGGCAUCUAUCGUCCCAGCUUUCAGAAUGGAGAAACUAAUCAUUCGGUGGUGGUGACCCAUAUGAUGGCGAUUCGCUCCGGCCAUUCCAAUUUUGGCGGUGGUGGUGUUGCUGCUCCUAUGACGGUAGACUCGUCUGAUUCCCCUAGCCACAUCCAUGGUGAUGAAGCUCGGCCUAGGCUAGAACCCCCUCCGAUUUUCUUAAGAUCACGGAAGCUUGGGUUGAUGGAGUGCUUGUAUUUAGUUUUUGUUUUG